ensembl:misc_RNA 7SK 7SK RNA
GGAUGUGAGAGGGACCUGACUGUGACAGUCAACACUGCACUGGCCACCAUGGGUGAUUUGGUUAAUCUUGCUAGCCAGGCAGCUGUCUCCUUCCUCCUUCGUUGCUCCAUGUGGAUCCUUCUCAAACAGGAUGAACAACCCAACAGAGGACCGUUCCUAGGUUAAGAGUAUACGAGUAGCUAUAUUUGCCUGCUAGAACCUUCAUGCUGUGAUGCUAGGUUUAAGGUUAUUCCACCCAGAGCGUAAGUUUUAUCCAUCCUAAGGGUAGGUAACCUAGACAGCACAUAAGGGACAAAAACAGGGUCAUUAUUUGUCACAUGUU